UAGAGGCAAAUAUAGAAACUAAAGAAUAUAAUGUUUCCAUGAUCUAAAGAAGCAAAUGUUCCUCUUCCAUACUGGCAUUAAAGCGUAAAAGAAGUUGUCCGCAUUCCAUGAAAAUCAAGAAAUUCUAGAUUAAUCUAGAAAUUUUAAAGCUAUAAAAUGAGAGCAAAGUGGCGAAAAAAAAGAAUGCGCAGGCUAAAACGUAAAAGGAGGAAGAUGCGUGCAAGGUCUAAAUAAAUUUUAUACAUAACCUCCUUAUAAGAGUAACAUCAACCAGAUUGGCAUGAAAGAAUUGUACUAAUUGAAUUAUCGAUACAAAUAAUUUUUGUUAUUCAAAAAUUCAUUUGUGUAUAUUUCUUGUACAAUUUAAUAAAAUAAUCGUUUUAAUAAUUAAAAA